GGCCCCGAUAAGACAAUGUAAAACAAUUCAAACGAGAAAACUAACGGCCUUAUUCAUGUAAAAACAAAAUGAACGAAAAACAAAUAUGUAACACAUAAACAAACGACAACCACUGAAUUACAGGAUCCUGACUUUGGACAGGCACAUACAUAAAUAAUGUGGCAGGGUUAAACAUGUAAGCGGGAUCCCAACCCUUCCCCUAACCUGGGACAGUGGUAUAACAGUACAAC
rnacentral:lncRNA from 1 species